AUGUUGUUUAAAAAGCUAAAAACACUGUGCAGUUUUACAAAGCCUUCAUUAAAAUGCAAAGAAGAAGAAAAAAACAUUAGCCUGUAACUCGCCAUGUCCCUGAAAUGAUUGUUUAGCUAAAUUAAGGUGAUCUUUAGGCUAACAGACGAACAACCCACUACAUUUAAUAAAUUAAUUGGGUUGAUUAUCCACAGUGUGAGGAUCAGGUCUACAGAUAGAAGAAUGAAUUAUGAAUUAAAUAAUUUAAUAAUUUUUGAUUAUUUCAUAUCAUCAUAUUAUGAGAAAGGAAAUGAAAAGGAUAUAUCAGUAUUGUUUAAAUGUAUAUAGCAUGACCCUGUUUUUAUACAGUCUAUGAGCAUGACAAGACAAUUAUUGUUCUGUCAUGCAGUUGAUAAAUGACACCGCAGUAGGCUAAUGUGUCUGCUGUGUGCCAUUUAUAUUUUUAUAAAACUUUAAUUUUCUUUACUACAUUGCAAAGUAAAGACUUUUUCCUCCCCUUUAUUGCAGGAAAAUAUGCUGCUCCUCAUUAUUUUAAGUGAAGAAAUCGAGAAACUUUUAUUUUUACCGACCAGUGAUGAUUCUGAAAGACCAUACCUGUAAUCUGUUGCUAUAGUAGUAUUUCAGUGCAGGUGUCUCACAGCCACUGCGGUCAAAUACUGAGAUAAACUUUAUAAAGUAUCAUCUAUUAAUAUUAUAUGAAUAUAUUAACUUUGUAUCUUCGAUAUCCAUUUUGGAAAACCAUUGGCCUAAAAAUAAAACGCUUAACGUGGCGUAAUGCAUUAAAACGUGUUUUAAAAAGACCAAACUCAGUAAACAUUUGUAAUAAAGCAUUCUAUUUACAGACAAGCAGGUUAUGGGAGGAAAAUGCUUAACGCGUAUUUAAACACGUCGCGUUUGUAUUCUGGCUCAUAUCUGCUUGUCUGUGAAUAGAAUGCUUUAUUGAUAAUUUGUUUACUGAGUUUGGUCUUUUUAAAACACAGUUUUAAUGCAUUAAGCCACGUACUUUCACGUUAAGCGCUUUAGAAUGUCCCAAUGAUUCAUUUGUGAAUUUGUCUGGUCCAGAAGAUUAAACUUGCAGCAGCUAACAUUUCGUGAUUCAAUAAAACAGAUAUAGUGAGUCAAGUUAACAAUAAACAACUGUGCAUUUUAAUGAAGGCUUUGUAAAACUGCACAGCGUUUUUAGCUUUUUAUACAACAUACUCGGUUCUACACCAUCUACGCACACAUCCUAUCAUGUAUGUCUAUGAAAGACGAUCGAACCAAUCAGAGUAGGUAUGGGGCGGGGCGACACGUGCAGCCCCGCCCCAGAUGCGGCCCCCGUCUCGAUCCGCAGGCUGCAGCCGGUGUACUUGGGAUAGUUGGCAAGAGUGGCGGGAACAUAUGUGAUGUAGCUACGUGAACUUACUAGACAUACUGUCUCAUUCUAGCGUUUAAUGCUGAGGAGGUCUCUAGCCUACAAGACUCAGAAGGACUAAACUAGGAAGGACGCAAUCUCGGUAGGAGAGGUUUGAGAAGCACCCACUGUCUUUAUGAAUGUGUAAUCAAGCAAAUGAUACGUUCCGUCAUCUGUCAUCGCGUUAUAAACACGGAUUACAGCCGCAAUCCUGCUCUGUGUUCUCUGCUAAUAACCCGACUGUGAAUGAUGCGAGCAGUGUUGUGUUGUCAGUGAGAAACUGCAGUCGUGGUGGGAGGAUUUCGGCAGAACAACAAUGCGCUACAUGUUUCUUUUCCAAUUGACGGAAAUCCGUCGUAGCGACGGAAAAUUUUAAUCUCGGUCACCGUAGCCACCCGGAUCCAGUCCGUAUCCAGACCAGAUGAUGGAUCACUUUUGGAUGAGAGCUGAGCUGGAGGACAUAACUGAAUCAUCAAUGAACUGAUAACAACUGAAAAACUGACUGUUUGUUAUUGUCCUCUUGCAUUAUCGACAAAUUAUCUUCUUUUUUGAAACAAUCUGAACUGUAUAAAGCGCUAUAUAAAUAAAGGUGACUUGAUUUUAAUAAUAUAAAGGUUUAAAUUAAUGCUAAUCAAUGCUUUAUAACACCUUUGUGGCCCGGUUUUAUGUAGUUCCACCAACUUAAACAUUUCUGGCCUUGCCCUGGGUUCAACCAUAAUUUUAUGAUGCUACGAGAAUACUUUUUUUGAGCAUAAAAAUCAUUAUUUUUGUUUUCUUUGCAUGAUGUCUUUACUAGCUUUCUGGGCUUUGAAUGUUUCAGUUGCGUUGCUGUCUAUGCAGGGUCAGAAAACUCUCAGAUUUCAUCAAAAUAUCUUGAUUUGUGUUCCCAAGAUUAACAAAACAGUCUUAUGGGUUUGGAACAGGACUGUACACUCUUGCUUCAGAUGCUUUUGACUUAGUGUUCAUUUCCUUGAUGGAAAAUAUUUGUAGAUGACCUUUUUUCCAUGACUAAGAUAAGACGAAGACAAGAUCAUACUGACAUCAUUAAACACUGAACUGUAACUAUAUCAGCAUGCAAUAUCAUUGACAAAAAAUAUGAGACUAAAAUGACGUUUAAAAAAUAAAAGCACUUUAUAACUAAAAUUUCUCUGUAUUUUCUUUUGUGAAGUCUUUUUUGUUGUUGUUUUGAUAGAAAGACAUGAAUAUAAUUUGGAAUUAUUGGCAUUAAUAUUAAGAAUUACAGCUUUUGAGAGACGAUUUUGAGUUUUACCAGCUUUCAGAAAGUAGCGAGUGUGUUUAUAAUUAAGAUAAUAUAAUACAUUGGAGAAACUAGAUAAGGUAAAGUAACUAUGUGUAUGGUUAUAUGUGAAAGUGCAUUAAUUAUGAUGCAGUUUCUCAAAGGACAACAAUCACGUCAAGUAAUCAUGAUUAUAAUUUUGAGCAAAUUAAUUAAUUAUCAACCUUUAUACUGCAUGACUAAAAUGUGACUAAGAUUUAAUUGACUAAAACGAGACUAAAAUUCACAGACUUUUAAUAUGGGGUCACAUUUACCGUUGCUCUGUGAAAUUCCAUUCAUUUCAAUAGUAAUCAGUGCGGAUGGGAGUUUCGCUUGAGGGCGAAAAGUUCCCUGUGCAGAUUUCACUCAUGUUCAAGUUGGUCAUAUGAAUUCGCCACGCUGACCAAUAGAAAAGCUGCUUGGUUUGAAAGUGACCUCUAUGUGAGCAGACGAAUCCUUCUGAAGAUGUACCUAAGCCUCUUGGUCUUGGACUACAUAAAAGAAGCGAUUAAAGCAAAUCUGAUGAACUAUCCUUACCCAGCCCCCUUGCUCUGAAAUCCAGUUUGUUAGACGAUUGUUGACGAAUCCCAUCAUAGCGACCUCAACUACAUUCGUCAUGGCAGGGCAUUUUUUCUUCAUAAAGAGUCCCAGUGUGAUGGCAGCCUUGAGGAGCUGCUUCUCUGAGGCCACUUCUGCUCUUUCCACAGCCCACAUCUUACACAGACUGUCCACGCUAUCACUGAACACAGUCACCACCU
ensembl:lncRNA